rnacentral:rRNA from 1 species
UAAACUGGGAUUAGAUACCCCACUAUUUUUAUAAGAAAAUUUUUAGUACUAAGUGAUAAGCAUGUAACUUUAAGUUUUUGGCGGUGCCUUCAAACUAUUUUGAGGAAUUUAUUCUUUAAAGGAUAUAACACCAAAAUCUUACUUAUAUUUGUAUUAAUAUAACAAUUUGUAUACCUCUUUUUAUUAAAAAUAUUAAGCUUUAUUUUUGAAAUUCUUAGAUUAAGAUGGUUUUUAGGUCAAGGUGCAGUUCAUGUAAAAGAAUGAAAUAAAUUAUAUUGAAUUAAUAUUUUGCAAAUAUUAGUUUUUAACAACAAAAAAUUAGUAAAAUUUAAUAGUAAAAA